rnacentral:rRNA from 1 species
GACGAACGCUGGCGGCGUGCUUAACACAUGCAAGUCGAACGGAAAGGCCCUGCUUUUGUGGGGUGCUCGAGUGGCGAACGGGUGAGUAACACGUGAGUAACCUGCCCUUGACUUUGGGAUAACUUCAGGAAACUGGGGCUAAUACCGGAUAGGAGCUCCUGCUGCAUGGUGGGGGUUGGAAAGUUUCGGCGGUUGGGGAUGGACUCGCGGCUUAUCAGCUUGUUGGUGGGGUAGUGGCUUACCAAGGCUUUGACGGGUAGCCGGCCUGAGAGGGUGACCGGCAAAAUGGGGCCUGAGAUCCGGCCCAGACGCUAAGGGAGGCAGCAGUGGGGAAUAUUGCACAAUGGGCGGAAGCCUGAUGCAGCAACGCCGCGUGCGGGAUGACGGCCUUCGGGUUGUAAACCGCUUUCGCCUGUGACGAAGCGUGAGUGACGGUAAUGGGUAAAGAAGCACCGGCUAACUACGUG